UAUGAUAUCAGUCUUAGUUUCAAUUUCGGUUUUACAUCGUGUUUGUCAAUACAGAUCGGGUUUGAAGUAUGUGAUUCACAAUUGUCGAAUAAAAUUCUCUGAUCCACACUCCUCCAGUUCAAUAUACUUUCAUACAAAAUCAUGUCGCUAAGUAACUCAUGUAGAGGCCUAAGUGUUUUUUCCAGCUUAAUAUAUCAAAGAGAACAUUGAAACGCUUAUGCAGAGGUAGCUGUAGAUGUCACUUAAUUGUCUAGAAAAGCUGUAUCUAGAUUAAUAAUUUACGCCUAUGCCUUUGCCAAUACGCAUAUGAAAAGCUUAAAAUGAUAUUAGAAACCUGAAUCCAGCAUAAAGUUGGUUGUUGUUGAUCUUUGCCAGUUGAAAUUAUUUCGCUAUUUUUAGUGGUAGAAAUGUUAUGGCAACUUGAUUUUUAUGAAUGAUAACAACCAACUCGAUCAAGAAGAUUCAACACUAAAAAGAAAUUUUUUUUAUUUGCAUGUAUGUUUCAGCAUGAAUCCGAACCAAUUGAAUAGCAUGGUAGAGUUACAGAGCUUAAUUUAUUCACAUUGCCUGACUAAUCGGACGAAACUCCACAAGGAUUUUUCGAUGAUCACGGUCUCGGUUAAACUUACAUUUAGUAUUUGCAAUGAAUUUAAUUCCUUUCACUUUGCCCUAUAUAUACAUAAAUUUAACGGAUAAGUCAAUGAUAAAAAAUGAUUGUAUUUUCAUAAAAGUAUUAAGAUUUUAAAAAGCUACAACAACAACAAAAAAAAUAUUUAAAAAAGACACAUGGUAAAGCGUAGCUUGCAAAGGAGAAAGCAAUUAAUGUUUAGUAUUUCAAUAAUAAGGAUCAAACAAAAAAUAUCGAACAAAAACGAGAAAUUUGUAUCAAUAUUGGAGUUGCCAUCAAUAGUAGUUUAUGUUGACAAAUUAUUGGUUUUUUACAGCUUUUAAAUUUUUUUCCCUUCUUUUGUUUGUUUCGCAAAAAAAAAUUGUAAAAUAAAUAAUAUUAUUGGAGAAAUUACCGCUGUUUUCUACGUAGAA